AACGAACGCUGGCGGCAUGCCUAACACAUGCAAGUCGAACGAGACCUUCGGGUCUAGUGGCGCACGGGUGCGUAACGCGUGGGAACCUGCCCUUAGGUUCGGAAUAACUCCCCGAAAGGGGUGCUAAUACCGGAUAAUGUCUUCGGACCAAAGAUUUAUCGCCUUUGGAUGGGCCCGCGUUGGAUUAGCUAGUUGGUAGGGUAAAAGCCUACCAAGGCGACGAUCCAUAGCUGGUCUGAGAGGAUGAUCAGCCACACUGGGACUGAGACACGGCCCAGACUCCUACGGGAGGCAGCAGUGGGGAAUAUUGAACACUGGGCGAAAGCCUGAUCCAGCAAUGCCGCGUGAGUGAUGAAGGCCUUAGGGUUGUAAAGCUCUUUUACCCGGGAUGAUAAUGACAGUACCGGGAGAAUAAGCUCCGGCUAACUCCGUG
rnacentral:rRNA from 1 species